UACAGAGGUCCCGAGCGUUGUUCGGAUUCACUGGGCGUAAAGGGUGCGUAGGUGGCGAGGUAAGUCGGAUGUGAAAGCUUGGAGCUCAACUCCGAAAUGGCAUUGGAAACUACCUUGCUCGAGGGUUGGAGGGGGGACUGGAAUGCUUGGUGUAGCAGUGAAAUGCGUAGAUAUCAAGCGGAACACCAGUGGCGAAGGCGAGUCCCUGGACAACUCCUGACACUGAGGCACGAAAGCUAGGGGAGCAAACAGG
rnacentral:rRNA from 1 species